UACAGAGGUGGCAAGCGUUGUUCGGAAUUACUGGGCGUAAAGGGCGCGUAGGCGGCCGAUCAAGUCGGGGGUGAAAGCCUGUGGCUCAACCACAGAAUUGCCUUCGAUACUGUUUGGCUUGAGACCGGAAGAGGUUAGUGGAACUGCGAGUGUAGAGGUGAAAUUCGUAGAUAUUCGCAAGAACACCAGUGGCGAAGGCGGCUGACUGGUCCGGUUCUGACGCUGAGGCGCGAAAGCGUGGGGAGCAAACAGG
rnacentral:rRNA from 1 species